GACAAGGGAUGACAAUUUUGCUCUGCCCCGCCCCUCCCUGCUUCGCCCCACGUGGGAUUCCCUACCCCACAAAGGUUGGGAGGAGGGGGGGGGGGGGGGGGGGCAAGGAUGUGACGAGAUUUUAGCUCCGCGCCAUGGGGCAAGACAAGGAUGGGUUUAGACUUUUUAGACUCAACCCGCCUUGCUCCGCAUUGAUAAGGGUUAAAUUGUUUUAUUAAAAAAAAUUAUAAUAGUUGUGGGCAAAUUAACAAGAAGUAGAGUUUUAUGAGGUGGGGCGGGGAUUCAUAGGGUCCCAAGGGGCGAAGAUGGGGCAAGAAAAUUUUCUUCGUCAUGCAAGGCAAGGCAAGGAAAGGGUAAGACAAAAUCUUGCGAGGCAGAGGCGAAGACCCCAUCCUGCAGACCCGCCCUGUCCCAUUGCCAUCCCUGACCAAGACAUCUACACUUCAAGCAGCAUCAAAGAAGAUUCAAAAGCACUCUAAAGUACAGAAGCUCUACAGGAAUCAAGCCUCAAAGUUUUCAAGAACCUUAAGAACUUCAAUCUGAAAUAUGAAGAACAUUUGAAGUAGAAUCAUCCAAAUUACCUACCUAGAUCUUAAAGUUUGCUGGAAUCAAGCCCAAAAACCUUCAGAAACUUCAAGAAACCACAAAUUAGCGAAAUUCUACGAAUUCAAACCCCAAAAAUCUCCAAAGAACUUCCACCAUAAACUUUCAAAGACAGAGAACAUGAAGAACAAAGAAUUUCUAACAAGCUUAUAGCCAGAGAUUCGUUGUAAUUCUAUUUCAAGGGUCUUCAAUCCAUCCUUCAGCCAAAUCAAAAGAUAUAUUGUGUUGGAGUCAAAAUCACAACCACAAUUCCAAUCAAUAAGUCUUUCAAGGAGGUUGAGUAAGAGGAUCACUCUUUUAUAAUUUCAGAGAAUUGUACCACACAUUGAUCAAUACAAAUUCAUAUUUGUGAAUCUA